rnacentral:rRNA from 1 species
UACGAAGGGGGCUAGCGUUGUUCGGAAUUACUGGGCGUAAAGCGCACGUAGGCGGACCUGCAAGUCGGGGGUGAAAGCCCGAGGCUCAACCUCGGAACUGCCUUCGAUACUGCGGGUCUCGAGUCCGGGAGAGGUGAGUGGAAUUCCUAGUGUAGAGGUGAAAUUCGUAGAUAUUAGGAAGAACACCAGUGGCGAAGGCGGCUCACUGGCCCGGUACUGACGGCUGAGGCGCGAAAGCGUGGGGAGCAAACAGG